rnacentral:rRNA from 1 species
UACGGAGGGAGCUAGCGCUGUUCGGAAUUACUGGGCGUAAAGCGCGCGUAGGCGGCUUUGCAAGUCGGGUGUGAAAUCCCCAGGCUUAACCUGGGAACUGCAUUCGAGACUGCAUUGCUAGAGUAUGGGAGAGGGAAGUGGAAUUUCCGGUGUAGCGGUGAAAUGCGUAGAUAUCGGAAGGAACAUCAGUGGCGAAAGCGACUUCCUGGACCAAUACUGACGCUCAUGUGCGAAAGCGUGGGGAGCAAACAGG